GCCAGACUCCUACGGGAGGCAGCAGUGGGGGAUAUUGCACAAUGGGGGAAACCCUGAUGCAGCGACGCCGCGUGAGUGAAGAAGUAUUUCGGUAUGUAAAGCUCUAUCAGCAGGGAAGAAAAAAGACGGUACCUGACUAAGAAGCCCCGGCUAACUACGUGCCAGCAGCCGCGGUAAUACGUAGGGGGCAAGCGUUAUCCGGAUUUACUGGGUGUAAAGGGAGCGUAGACGGCAAUACAAGUCGGAAGUGAAAUACCCGGGCUCAACCUGGGAACUGCUUUGGAAACUGUAUGGCUGGAGUGCUGGAGAGGUAAGCGGAAUUCCUAGUGUAGCGGUGAAAUGCGUAGAUAUUAGGAGGAACACCAGUGGCGAAGGCGGCUUACUGGACAGUAACUGACGUUGAGGCUCGAAAGUGUGGGGAGCAAACAGGAUUAGAUACCCCGGUAU
rnacentral:rRNA from 1 species